rnacentral:lncRNA from 1 species
CUGGGGUUGUGGCUCAGUGGUAGAGCGCUCGCCUAGCAUGCAUGAGGCACUGGGUUCAAUCCUCAGCACCACAUAAAAAUAAAAUAAAGAUAUUGUGUCCACCUAAAACUAAAAAAUAAAUAUUUUAAUAAAUAAAUAAGUAAUCUAAACAUGAUCUUAAAUAUGCAGGAGGAUGUGUGGGAGUUAUAUGCAAAGUCUACACCAUUUCAUAUAAGGAAUUUGAGCAUCCACAGAUUUGGGUAUCCUUGGGGCAUCUUGGAACCCAUCUCCCAUGGAUAUGGAGGGAUGGCUAUACUUGGGUUAGUAGGAAGUCUGUUUUCUAGAGAGAUCCUUUCUCAGAAUGGCUAAACUUGCCCAUAGCUAAGGGGCAGAACUAGGAAAGUUCAGGAAAUGGGAAGAGGUGGAAAGAGAACAUUUUCUGCAACUCUUUCUUCCCUAGAUGACUCCCCAGUGAUCCAUUUCAAAUUGCCACAGCUGAUAUGGAAUUGCUCUUACCUGUAGGAACUGAUCAGAAUAGAGACCAGGCUCAUCAGGUUACUAAUGACACCAGCCUUGCAUGGCUUUUAGAGAGAGGACUGUGGAAGAGGUGGCAGGAAGUAUGACUCCACUGAAUGGAAUGGGUUUAGAAUGCAGAAAUACUUCAGAAUAUCGUGAAAAGCAAAGCACAAUGAUUUGCAGAUCAGAAGGAAAUUGGUUGAGGAAAAGCACAAAGUAAUGCCAGAGGAUGGGAACACCCAAGAAUAGAGGAGUAGGGUGAGAACUUGAGGGAUUCAUACUCCUAGACUUUGAACCUGCCUGUACAGUAGGACGGCUCUCACCCUGCUUUCUAAGGUGUCAGGGCUGACAUGGUGCCCAGAAAAGCAUCCCAUUACUCUCCAAGCACCUGCUAACACCUGUGCAUCAAUUUAAGAAAAGCCUCUCUCAGCCUCAAUCCCACUCAGGAGGUAUCUUGGAGCCCAAUGUUCUGAGGAAGCCAGUACAUAUCCCCAGUUUCCAUGUGCCCAACAUCAUAGCUAGCGAGGAUAAUGGCAGGAGACACAAGAUCAGCCAAAUUAGCCCAACUCACCACCCACUAUGAAAACCGGUGGAGGGUUUGGGUCAUAAGCUUUUAAGGACUCUUCUCUGACUCAGAAGGGCUAAUGGGCCGUUCAGCACGCCUAUAAUCCCAGUGGCUCUGGAGGCUGAGGCAGGAGGAUGGAGAGUUCAAAGCCAGUCUCAGCAAAGGCAAGGCAUUAACAACUCAAUGAGACCCCAUCUCUAAAUAAAAUACAAAAUAGGGCUGG